AUACGUAGGGUGCGAGCGUUGUCCGGAAUUAUUGGGCGUAAAGGGCUCGUAGGCGGUUUGUCGCGUCGGGAGUGAAAACACUGGGCUUAACCCAGUGCUUGCUUUCGAUACGGGCAGACUAGAGGUAUGCAGGGGAGAACGGAAUUCCUGGUGUAGCGGUGAAAUGCGCAGAUAUCAGGAGGAACACCGGUGGCGAAGGCGGUUCUCUGGGCAUGUCCUGACGCUGAGGAGCGAAAGUGUGGGGAGCGAACAG
rnacentral:rRNA from 1 species